rnacentral:rRNA from 1 species
GGGGAUUGCGCUGCCUUAACAUGCAGUCGAACGGUAACAGGGAGCUUGCUCCGCUGACGAGUGGCGAACGGGUGAGUAAUACAUCGGAACGUGCCCAGUAAUGGGGGAUAGCUCGGCGAAAGCCGGAUUAAUACCGCAUACGCCCUGAGGGGGAAAGUGGGGGACCGCAAGGCCUCACGUUAUUGGAGCGGCCGAUGGCUGAUUAGCUAGUUGGUAGGGUAAAGGCCUACCAAGGCGACGAUCAGUAGCUGGUCUGAGAGGACGAUCAGCCACACUGGGACUGAGACACGGCCCAGACUCCUACGGGAGGCAGCAGUGGGGAAUUUUGGACAAUGGGGGAAACCCUGAUCCAGCAAUGCCGCGUGUGCGAAGAAGGCCUUCGGGUUGUAAAGCACUUUUGUCAGGGAAGAAAUCCUUUGGGCUAAUACCCUAGGGGGAUGACGGUACCUGAAGAAUAAGCACCGGCUAACUACGUGCCAGCAGCCGCGGUAAUACGUAGGGUGCAAGCGUUAAUCGGAAUUACUGGGCGUAAAGCGUGCGCAGGCGGUUGUGUAAGACAGGUGUGAAAUCCCCGGGCUUAACCUGGGAAUUGCAUUUGUGACUGCACGAC